rnacentral:rRNA from 1 species
UUGAAAGGGAAACGAUUGAAGUCAGUCGUACCUGCGGGUAAUCAGCCUUUUGGGUGUGAUUAUGUGGAGCGUGAGGAGUUAAUCACCCUCAUCUUUGCAUAUUCGUGCACUUUGGGUGUACUUGCUCGUGUGGUAGGUUAACAUCAAUUUUGAUCAUCAUAAAAUGAUUGGAGGAAUGUAGCUUCGAUCUCGUAUUGAGGUGUUAUAGCCUUUGGUAGAUGUGAUGAUCGGGAUUGAGGAUUGCAACGGAUACCCUUCGGGGCUACCCGUCUGAUCUCUGAAAGUUGCUCUGGUGCUGAAAGCUUGCUUAUGGUAUCAAAGUUGACGUUCAAUAGGUUAGAACGGGAUAAAUUCGUUAAGGAUGUUGACGUA